CGGAUCGGUACCGGUCCGCGGCCCGUGGGGUUGGGGACCACUGGUAUAUAACAAAGAGUUUUUAAGGGUUACUCCCAUUGGACAUCUGCCAAAUGCUGUAAAUGAAAGGCUUCUUUGGAUGUUUGACAGCUAUCGAUUUCUACUGGGAGCUCCUUUAAAAAGACAACCCCUGCUGAUGAGUUUUUACAUAAUACUUUAAUGGUUUCUCUAGAGAGAUCAACUAAAGAACCAUUAAAAGAGGACCAUUGGUUUCUGAGUGCAUUGUAGCCUGAGUUUGUUAGCGUUGAGACAUCAUGUCAUGACUCGUGUACUGUGACAGUACCUACAGCAUUUGAAUCAGUACCUACUGCUUAUCUGUUGAUAAAGUACAUACUGAUCAGUCCGGACCUACUACAUCUGUCAUGUUGGCAUAAUAUAUCAUGUGAUCUGUGACAUCAGAAAGCAAUUUUUUUUACAUUUUCAAAAAUUGUCACUUUUUCUUUUUGUUUAAACUUCCAACAAGUUAAAAGUUUACUCAGGUUUUAUUAAACAAAUAUAUUUUCACCAUAAGGAUAAACUUAAUUUUUUUUAAGCAAUUACACUUGCACUUGCACUGUCUUCUGCUAUUUUUGAUUGUGUCAGCUCUUGCAGUCCUGUUGCCUUAUGGGAUUGCACAGUGUGUACUGGAACCUGGGGCAUUGUUUUUGAAUAUUGAGAAUUCAUUAUUGGGUGGAAGAAGUUAGUAUUUAUUCUAAACUGAAAUGUACAACACUUUCAAUGGAGGACAAUAAAGCUUCUUUCAUAGUGCUUUCAAUUGCACAUGGGCUGGAAAUUAGCCUAUUCAUUUCUAAUGCUUUCCAACAGAAAUAUUUUUUAUCACACUGAGUAUAUGAUCCUUUUUUAAAGCAUGAUCUCCAAAUUUUAGCACAUGAUAGGUCAUGCUAUAGAAACUACAGGAAUAAACUGUUGAUGGAAUUAAUUUUCCAGUGACAUUUAUCAGAGAAACUUGUGGACUGCCUGCCUAUGUGGUAUUUAACCCUUCCUAACCAGAAGCAGUGAGAAUCUACCAAAUACAUUUGUAUACAUAUGUGCAUGCAUGCCUUUUAACAAAGCCAUGAUGUGAAAUAAUAUUAGCAAGAAUUACCGCUGUCAUGCAGACAGUUACCAUUUUUUCUUUGCACCAUAUACAUAAGACUUAUAGAUAUUUUAUAAGACUAGCAUUCAUGAAGUCAGGAUCCAAAUCCGUAGGAACCCAAAGUCAGGACCCUCGACACUUACUGUACUGCCUUGACAUUGACUGCCUCGAUCUUAAGGAAGCAGUGUCUGGUUUGGGUAUCCCCUGCACUGCCAGUGUACACAGUAUCCACUCACCUGACAGAUGGAAACCAUGAUUCAGAGUUAAAUCUAAAUCUUACCCAAACAUGGCAGCCUACACACCUUGCUAACCAUAACUGAUCAUUUUUAAUAACAAAUGAUAAACAACUGAGUCACUUUCUACACAAAAACUAUGAUCUCAGUUGGAAUGAAAUGAAUAAAGAACCUGAGACCACAAAACGAAGAGGCUAAAGUGCUCCUAAAGUGUGCACCUUAUUGUCCAAUGACAGGAUAAUACUUCCAUUUCUCACUGAUAUAUAGAUUGAUAGAUCAAGAUUUUUUUAUUGUCAAUGCCACCAUAUGUGCAGACAUACGGUGGGAUCGAAAUACUCUCUUACCAAGGGUUUAUGUUGUAAAUCCAAUAUGGAAAAUUUGUUUAAGGCUACCAGCAGUAAGUGCAAUAUAGAAAGUUUUGAAUGGAGGUAACAGCAGUGUACUUGUACUUUAAUAAAUAGACAUAUAUAAACUGAGUGAAUAUAUAUCUGAAAUCUGUAUGAAUUCAGACUCAUAUAUCUUGUAAAUCAUUCAUGAAAACAUAAAUGAAUGUUUGAGUGAUUCCUCAAGGCUGAAUAUCCAAAAUAUAGUUUAGUGUAAUACUCAAUAUUUUUUUAUAAUUUCCUGCAUUGUUUUCAUUAUUUUUAUUAGUAUUAGUAUUAUUAGUAGUAGUAUACAGUAUACUGUAGUAGUACUGAUAGUAGUGGCAGAUGAGUUUGUUUGUUUGUUGCCCUCAGAACAUCUACCCAUAGCUUAAAAGGAUUGUGGCCAUUCCUUACUGUUAUUCAUUACUGUUUACAGACUGCUUGCAUUUUACAUUAUUGUUUUUACAGUAUAUGUCAGGACAGAGACAUGCAGUUCUAUUUACCCAGUGUUCUAGUUUGCUGUUCUAGUUUACUGAAAAUUAAAAGUAUAAAAAAAAGGAAAAAAAAUAGUAGAAAUACGUUCAACUCCCUUGAAGAGGGAAUUUGAAUUGUCAUAGUAUAAGAAGAAGAGUCAGAUUUCAGAAUCAGAAUCAGAAAGAGCUUUAUUGCCAGGCAUGUUUUCACAUGCGAGGAAUUUGUUUUAGUGACAGAAAUGCUUGUUUUAAUGCUUGUUCAGAUUCCUUCUUAGUUUUAUCAGUAGAUAAUACAACACACUUAUGACAUAUAGUCAUACAUUUAUAUUCCUUGAAUCUUGUGCAUAUAUUAUUGUAAAAAUAUUUUGUACAAACAAACAGCCCGAUAUCAGAAGUCAGGUCUCAUUUUCAAAUCCAUUAAGUCCACAAAGCACUCAGGUUUCAUGCAGCAGUGAAUGCAGCACACACGGUGUCCAAGAGCAAUAUUCUUCCCUUAAUACACACCAGAUUUUUUUCAGUCAUGGAAGAUUUGAACUGAACUUCAUCAGCUUUUCUUAGAGCUUUAGAGGCUGUCAGACAUCGAUUCUCAGACGGUCUAGGAGUUUCAAGGAUCAUAAGAAGACAAUUGUUUCUUUGCUUCUAACACAGUGUAUCAGUCUUCAAAUAACAACAGUGAGAACCUAUCCAGUUUGAUGUGCACUCCAUCACACUGGGUCUGAAGUGAAACAUUCAGUGAUCAUGGUGUUAAAAUGCAACGAUUAUGAUGUUCAUUCAUAUUAAAUCAACCUGUUCAAUAAGUAUAUAUAAUUGAUGGCUGAGUUCUGCGAUUGAGUUCUCCCAUUAUGCUUGGUGAUAAGAAAUGGGAAUUGUGGAGAAAUAUAUACGAGUGAAUAUUCAAAAUAAAAUAUUCUGUGGAUCUAUGAGAUGUAUAGAAUAUUGUAUUUUAAAGGUUAAUCUACAGUAGCUGCUUCAUCCUGGUCAGAGUUAAUCCCAUUGUUACUGGGUGAAAUUCACUCAAGAUCAAGGUUGCCAGUCCAUACUCAAACACCUGCAUCUAGGGAAAAUUAAGCAUAGUUAAUGCACCAAUGUUGCUACUAAGGUCUCCAUCAGCACGUUAUACAGUAUCUACAGAUCACAAAUUAGCUAACUAGAUUUUUUUUUGUCUUUUACAGAGAAAAAUCACAUAUAUGCAAUAAUAUAUGUAACCAUGAUCAAAAGAGAAGAAUAACAGUCUUACUGUUCAAUAGACAGGCAAAUUGUGUUCCUGUACACAGACUCGCAGACAGCUGUUUCAUCACUGUGAAUCAAAACUCAAAAUUCUAGAAAGACGAUGCAACCUUUAUAAGAUGGGACACGAAAUUCAUUUUAUAGAGACAUUGCACAGAGAGCAGAUGCAGAUAAUGCCAUUUAAUAAAAUAUCCACCAGAACUCCCAGAAAUAUAAAAUAACUUAAAAAAGAAACUCAAUAAAAGAAAAAAACAGGGAAUUGAAAUGAAAUGUACUGUAUGUAUUUGGAAAUAUAGAACCAUUUAUUUCUGAGUGAGAAGGUCUCAUACAGUAUAUCUCUUUAAAUCAUGGACAUGCCAGACCUUGCAAACAAAACAGCGUGGAUGAAGAUGACUGUCAGUUUUUUCAUUGUACGCUGCGCUUCAUGUAAAUCUGUGAGCUCUGUCUUUGAUGAUGUGUUCUGCCUGAAAGAGAACACAGCCCACAAAAAUCUGAGAAGAGAGAAAUAUCACCAUCAUCUGUCCACUUCUUUCAGUAACAGUAAUUAAGUCUGACUAAAUCAUCUUUGAGGAUAUUUUUGUAACCAACACAUGGUGGAUAUUAUCCCAGGACUUUUGUCUCUGAAUUGUUUUUAUAGUUCUUAGUUUUUAGGAUCCUGUUUUUUUAGCGAUGUUCUUUAACAAACUCUGAGGUUUACAGGAACAGGUGUAUUAAUAUUAAGAUCAGAAGACACUGUAAUUGCAUGCAGAGGAACUAACUCUAUUUAAAUAAUUAUGUGAAUUUCGAGAACACCAGAACUAAUUUAGUGGUAGCUUUUAUGAUCUUGGCAAAUCAUUUUGUAUUACAAUUCAUCAGAAUGAAGUCCAUUUCAGUUAGAGGUUGUAACACUGAACAAUGUGGAAACAGAGACUGAUAUAUUAUUAUUAACUGGAGAGUCACUCUGGCACUUUUUAAGGUGGCUGAGGAGACACAAGACAAAUUAUUUGCAGUUUUAUAUAUAUAUAUUCCUUUCCUUCUUUUUGGAGUGGACAUGGCACAGAGGUGUGCACCUUUCAAGUACCACAUUAUAGCAGAUCGAACCCCACUUUUCAGGCAGACACCAUAAUUUGUUACAGGUUGUACUUUGCUGCUUUUUUGCCACAAAGCAUUUCGUUUGAGGUUAGAGGUGCUGUUUUCUCCUGUUUAAGUUGUCAUUAUAUGUCAUUGGAUUGAACACCUCAUCACACAGGAGGUUCAGGAGAGUGUGAUCACUUCAGACAGCACUCUGUUAAUGUAAUAGUAGAAGCAAUCUUUUUCUUGCUGAGUGUGUGGAGUCUGUGAAGUUAAUUCUUAGCGCUAUAUCUUUUAGGGUGACUCACUAAAAUACGUUCAAGUAUUCCAUAGUUCAGGUUCAGGUUUCAGGUUCCCACUGAGAUGACUAUUUGUCAUCUGCUUAUUUAGAAAAGUAAAGGGCCUUUUAAUCCUCAGCUGUGUAUUUUUACCCCAGGAAGUGGUACUGUAUUAAUCAGACAGUCAUUAUAAGGCUUGUAUCUGAAGACAAAGAAAUCACACUCUGCACGUCCACUUCACCCCUCCAGACUUUCUUCUCAUGAAAAUUCACACAUUUACAGCUCAUGAAACAUUUUCUGUACAUUUAACUGCUUGUGAUUUAUUGUUGUGCUCUUCAAGCACUGACCUGUCCUAUAAAGCAUGAGUGUCUUUCCAAAACCUUCUUAAACAUGUCUCAGUAUUUCAUUAUUUUUGUGUGAUGGGUAAAAAUCUCGCUUUGAGCUAAAAAAAAAAGAGAAAACCUUCAUCUUUGGUUUUCUGCUGUCUGUACAUUGCUUUGCAAUGUGACCUGUUCUUGUCAAUGAAUUGCUUCCUGUGAUUUCCUGUGAUGAAAAUUACUGGAUGAUUUAGUACACCUUGCUUGCUUCCAGAAUCAGUAACUGGAUAAAUGUUUUGUUUUUAGAGUCAAUAAAUUUUCUUUGCACAUUGAUAUUACAGUGCAUUAUUUCUGUGCAUGGCAUGUAUUGUUUCUAACAGUAAACUUCAGGUCAGAAGUCAUUCAUGUUUAAUCGAGAGUCACACUGGAGCAAAGACUCAUUGAAUUUCAGAUGGGAUCAAGGGUUCAGAUGUGUUCAAACUCCUAGCUAGAGCAGACGGAACGCAUCAGUGCGACUGGAAAUACUGGACUGUAGUCAAACAUACAGUAUGAAGUUUGAAUGCUUUGCUUCUUUUAAUUGGCAUUUAUUCUUCAUUGAGAGUUAUUUUCACAUAUAGGUUUUGUUAAGUUUGAUGCCCCAUUUCAGGUUGCCAUGUUUGUCUUUAUAACCAUGAUAAUGAAAAACAGUAAGUUUACAUUUACAGCAUUAAGCAGACGCCCUUAUCCAGAGCAACUUACAUUUUUACCUCAUUUUAUACAGCUGAGUGUUAAGGGCCUUGCAGGGAUGGCAGCCUGGUAGACGUGGGAAUCAAACUCACAACCUUCCGAUUGUUAAUCCAACACCUUAACCACUAGGCUACCACAUCCCUGCUUUAUUUUUGUUUAAUUUAAAAUUUAUUGGUUUUCCAGAUGUUUUCCCAUGAAAUGUGAAUUUUUACAUUUGUGGACAUUAAUUAGUUUUUGAACAUUGUCUACAUAUAUGUUAUAUGUGUUAUAUGUAUGUAUAAAUUAUUUCAACUGCUAUUAUAGUAUUAUAGUACAGAGUUUACGUUUGCUUACAUUUUAUGUUAAUAAGUCUCAUAUACAAUGUUCUAUAAAACUGUACUACUUAUUACUUUUCUAUUUUACUUAGUAAAGUCAUGUCAAUUAUAAAUUCACAGCUCCUGGUGUAAGCAUCACUAGCUGUUUUUUAUUUUUAUUUUUUUAUUUUUAGAGCUUUGGAAAUUCCAGUUGUGAAAGCUUUUGGCAUUCAGAUUUUCCUUAUUGGAAGUGCUAGACUGGCAUUCAACAAAUUCACAAUAAAUCUUAUUACACUUUGAACUGUGGUUUUAACUAAAGAUGGUUCUGCCAUUUAGAACAGUUCAAAUUGACUGACUUGGCAAGACAAAUCAAUUCUUCACCUUUAAAGUGUCUUCUGCAGCAAGAGUAAAAGCAGAGAGGGAAGAAGACUCCAGUGCCCUCUUGUGCUAAUAAGUGAAAUAUCCCAUGAUAAAUUAUUGAACAUAUUUAGGUAAAAGUUUAGGUAAAACUUUAACUUUAAGCUGACUACGUUUAGACAUGAUGACUCAUAGCACAGAAUUUAUAUAUUCUGUGCUAUGACUCAUAGCACAGAAUUUAUAUAUUCUUUUUGGGUUUCUCCACUACUAGUAGAAAAUCCAGUGCUUCGCUCGGUACUGUCAGGACUCAGCCCGGACUUUGGCCACGUGCAUCUGUUUACGUUUCUCAUCACAUGUCUGCCACGUCUUCGUCUUCUGCCCCUGUUUCCUAUUGUGAAUGCCCAUUUUUAUCCCACGUUCAUGACAGAAGAUUCCACCGCACCAGGAACCAGCAGGAUAGCUGCAGCCUGGACCGGCCGAUUGGGAGUAUUUGUUUUCUUAUUUGAUUUUCUUAUUUCACAUUUGGUUUCCGUGGAGGACGUCGCCCCACUUCCUGUCCGUGGGGGGUGUUGCAGGCCUGUAUUUUGCCCCUAUGGAUUUUCUGUUCUAUGGAGGUUUUUUUUUGCUUCCUGAGAGGUGGGACUGGCCGCGGUGCGUCGGGGGUAGCACUUGGACCGUCAGCUCGGCUUUGGACGUCGCUCGGCCCAACACCAUCUGCCUCGCUGUGUGCCUCGCCGUGUGCCUCGCUCGGACCUUGUCAGGAUUAUACGCUUCGGGAGCCACGCCUCAGGUGGGGUACUGUCAGGACUCAGCCCGGACUUUGGCCACGUGCAUCUGUUUACGUUUCUUGUCACGUAUCUGCCCGCCUUCGUCUGCUCCUCCCUGUCUACACACCUGUUUCCUAUUGUGAAUACCCUGUUCAUUUAACUGUGCCAUGUUGCCUUGUGCAGCGCGGAAUCUACUGUUGUACUGUCCUGUCUUUAGUCCGUGUCAUGAUUAGUGUUUCCUUUGUUAUUAAACCCUGUUUAUUUUGUUA